rnacentral:rRNA from 1 species
ACAGCAGCAGCCGCGGUAAUACAGAGGGUGCGAGCGUUAAUCGGAUUUACUGGGCGUAAAGCGUGCGUAGGCGGCUAAUUGAGUCGGAUGUGAAAUCCCCGAGCUUAACUUGGGAAUUGCAUUCGAUACUGGUUAGCUAGAGUGUGGGAGAGGAUGGUAGAAUUCCAGGUGUAGCGGUGAAAUGCGUAGAGAUCUGGAGGAAUACCGAUGGCGAAGGCAGCCAUCUGGCCUAACACUGACGCUGAGGUACGAAAGCAUGGGGAGCAAACAGGAUUAGAUACCCCAGUAGUCCCUGUCUCUUAUAC